UACGUAGGGUGCGAGCGUUAAUCGGAAUUACUGGGCGUAAAGCGUGCGCAGGCGGUUUUGUAAGUCAGAUGUGAAAUCCCCGGGCUCAACCUGGGAACUGCGUUUGAAACUACAAGGCUAGAGUGUAGCAGAGGGGGGUAGAAUUCCACGUGUAGCAGUGAAAUGCGUAGAGAUGUGGAGGAAUACCAAUGGCGAAGGCAGCCCCCUGGGUUAACACUGACGCUCAUGCACGAAAGCGUGGGGAGCAAACAGGAU
rnacentral:rRNA from 1 species